rnacentral:rRNA from 1 species
GAUGAACGCUGGCGGCGUGCUUAACACAUGCAAGUCGAGCGAAGCGAUUUUAAGGAAGCCUUCGGGUGGAAUUAAGAUUGACUUAGCGGCGGACGGGUGAGUAACGCGUGGGUAACCUGCCUCAUACAGGGGGAUAACAGUUAGAAAUGACUGCUAAUACCGCAUAAGCGCACAGUGCUGCAUAGCACAGUGUGAAAAACUCCGGUGGUAUGAGAUGGACCCGCGUCUGAUUAGGUAGUUGGUGAGGUAACGGCCCACCAAGCCGACGAUCAGUAGCCGACCUGAGAGGGUGACCGGCCACAUUGGGACUGAGACACGGCCCAAACUCCUACGGGAGGCAGCAGUGGGGAAUAUUGGACAAUGGGGGAAACCCUGAUCCAGCGACGCCGCGUGACUGAAGAAGUAUUUCGGUAUGUAAAGGUCUAUCAGCAGGGAAGAAAAUGACGGUACCUGCAGAAUAAGCUCCGGCUAACUACGUGCCAGCAGCCGCAGUAAGAC